rnacentral:misc_RNA from 1 species
AAGAAUCUUUUCGAACAAACAGAAGGAAGCCUCAGGACCCUCUUCAAUGAAUCUAAAACUGUUGUUGCAGGAGCAAUAUCAAGUGGUUCACGCAGAUUAUUCAUGCGAUUGAAUUCAAAUGUCUUUUUAGGCAUAUCACCGAGCACCUUCUCAAGCUCAAGAUCCACCGCAGGUGGAGGAGGAGGCAGUCCACUAGACUUGCAUUUUUCAGUUGCCACACUAUCAACCAGAACAAUACGGCCCUCACCAUUAAUUGUUCCAAUAACAGCCAUUGAAAGUCUUUCCCUUGAACAGAUAGCUUGCAAAAGAUCGCGGCUUUCAGGCUUCACCAGUAUGGCAUCUUGCUCCUGAUAUUCUGCACCCCAGAUUUCCAGAACAGACAUUGUGUGAUCGCCAACUACAAUUGCCCUUAUAUCAAUUUUGGCACCCUGUGGGUGUAUUAUCUCCUUCACGACAUUACAGUUUCCACCGGCACCCUGAUCAUGAAUGCUUAUGAUCGGGUUGCUGUCGCCCAUUUCAAUGCAAGCACGGACAACCCGAUACAACUUUUGUGCCAUCUCAGCAUCUCCACGCUGCACGGCAUUGAAGUCAAGCUCAGCAUCAUUCUGUCCACUGACCAUGCUGGAUGCAG